rnacentral:rRNA from 1 species
AACGAACGCUGGCGGCAGGCUUAACACAUGCAAGUCGAGCGCCCCGCAAGGGGAGCGGCAGACGGGUGAGUAACGCGUGGGAACAUACCCUUUCCUGCGGAAUAGCUCCGGGAAACUGGAAUUAAUACCGUAUACGCCCUACGGGGGAAAGAUUUAUCGGGGAAGGAUUGGCCCGCGUUGGAUUAGCUAGUUGGUGGGGUAAAGGCCUACCAAGGCGACGAUCCAUAGCUGGUCUGAGAGGAUGAUCAGCCACAUUGGGACUGAGACACGGCCCAAACUCCUACGGGAGGAAGCUGUGGGGAAUAUUGGACAAUGGGCGCAAGCCUGAUCCAGCCAUGCCGCGUGAGUGAUGAAGGCCUUAGGGUUGUAAAGCUCUUUCACCGGAGAAGAUAACGACGGUAUCCGGAGAAGAAGCCCCGGCUAACUUCGUGCCAGCAGCCGCCGUAACAC